GGGUAGAGCACUGUUUCGGCUAGGGGGCCAUCCCGGCUUACCAACCCGAUGCAAACUGCGAAUACCGGAGAAUGUUAUCACGGGAGACACACGGCGGGUGCUAACGUCCGUCGUGAAGAGGGAAACAACCCAGACCGCCAGCUAAGGUCCCAAAGUCAUGGUUAAGUGGGAAACGAUGUGGGAAGGCCCAGACAGCCAGGAUGUUGGCUUAGAAGCAGCCAUCAUUUAAAGAAAGCGUAAUAGCUCACUGGUCGAGUCGGCCUGCGCGGAAGAUGUAACGGGGCUAAACCAUGCACCGAAGCUGCGGCAGCGAACGUAUCACUUAAAGCGAUUCAGCGGGUUACGAUUGACGGAGCGAAGCGACGUCAAAGCGUAUACAAAGUCGAGUCGGUUUAAGGAUACGUUCGUUGGGUAGGGGAGCGUUCUGUAAGCCUGUGAAGGUGGCCUGUGAGGGUUGCUGGAGGUAUCAGAAGUGCGAAUGCUGACAUAAGUAACGAUAAAGCGGGUGAAAAGCCCGCUCGCCGGAAGACCAAGGGUUCCUGUCCAACGUUAAUCGGGGCAGGGUGAGUCGACCCCUAAGGCGAGGCCGAAAGGCGUAGUCGAUGGGAAACGGGUUAAUAUUCCCGUACUUGGUGUUACUGCGAAGGGGGGACGGAGAAGGCUAUGUUGGCCGGGCGACGGUUGUCCCGGUUUAAGCGUGUAGGUGUGUGUUCCAGGUAAAUCCGGUUCACUUUAACACUGAGGCGUGACGACGAGGCACUACGGUGCUGAAGCAACAAAUGCCCUGCUUCCAGGAAAAGCCUCUAAGCAUCAGGUAACAUCAAAUCGUACCCCAAACCGACACAGGUGGUCAGGUAGAGAAUACCAAGGCGCUUGAGAGAACUCGGGUGAAGGAACUAGGCAAAAUGGUGCCGUAACUUCGGGAGAAGGCACGCUGACACGUAGGUGAAGUGAUUUACUCACGGAGCUGAAGUCAGUCGAAGAUACCAGCUGGCUGCAACUGUUUAUUAAAAACACAGCACUGUGCAAACACGAAAGUGGACGUAUACGGUGUGACGCCUGCCCGGUGCCGGAAGGUUAAUUGAUGGGGUCAGCGCAAGCGAAGCUCCUGAUCGAAGCCCCGGUAAACGGCGGCCGUAACUAUAACGGUCCUAAGGUAGCGAAAUUCCUUGUCGGGUAAGUUCCGACCUGCACGAAUGGCGUAAUGAUGGCCAGGCUGUCUCCACCCGAGACUCAGUGAAAUUGAACUCGCUGUGAAGAUGCAGUGUACCCGCGGCAAGACGGAAAGACCCCGUGAACCUUUACUAUAGCUUGACACUGAACAUUGAGCCUUGAUGUGUAGGAUAGGUGGGAGGCUUUGAAGUGUGGACGCCAGUCUGCAUGGAGCCGACCUUGAAAUACCACCCUUUAAUGUUUGAUGUUCUAACGUGGACCCGUAAUCCGGGUUGCGGACAGUGUCUGGUGGGUAGUUUGACUGGGGCGGUCUCCUCCUAAAGAGUAACGGAGGAGCACGAAGGUUGGCUAAUCCUGGUCGGACAUCAGGAGGUUAGUGCAAUGGCAUAAGCCAGCUUGACUGCGAGCGUGACGGCGCGAGCAGGUGCGAAAGCAGGUCAUAGUGAUCCGGUGGUUCUGAAUGGAAGGGCCAUCGCUCAACGGAUAAAAGGUACUCCGGGGAUAACAGGCUGAUACCGCCCAAGAGUUCAUAUCGACGGCGGUGUUUGGCACCUCGAUGUCGGCUCAUCACAUCCUGGGGCUGAAGUAGGUCCCAAGGGUAUGGCUGUUCGCCAUUUAAAGUGGUACGCGAGCUGGGUUUAGAACGUCGUGAGACAGUUCGGUCCCUAUCUGCCGUGGGCGCUGGAGAACUGAGGGGGGCUGCUCCUAGUACGAGAGGACCGGAGUGGACGCAUCACUGGUGUUCGGGUUGUCAUGCCAAUGGCACUGCCCGGUAGCUAAAUGCGGAAGAGAUAAGUGCUGAAAGCAUCUAAGCACGAAACUUGCCCCGA
rnacentral:rRNA from 1 species